rnacentral:rRNA from 1 species
AGAGUUUGAUCAUGGCUCAGGACGAACGCUGGCGGCGUGCUUAACACAUGCAAGUCGAGCGGUAAGGCCCUUUCGGGGGUACACGAGCGGCGAACGGGUGAGUAACACGUGAGUAAUCUGCCCCUGGCUCUGGGAUAAGCACUCGAAAGGGUGUCUAAUACCGGAUAUGACAGACUCCCGCAUGGGGUGUUUGUGGAAAGUUUUUUCGGCUGGGGAUGUGCUCGCGGCCUAUCAGCUUGUUGGUGGGGUAAUGGCCUACCAAGGCUUUGACGGGUAGCCGGCCUGAGAGGGUGACCGGUCACACUGGGACUGAGACACGGCCCAGACUCCUACGGGAGGCAGCAGUGGGGAAUAUUGGACAAUGGGCGGAAGCCUGAUCCAGCAACGCCGCGUGAGGGAUGACGGCCUUCGGGUUGUAAACCUCUUUCAGUACCGACGAAGCUGCUCUUUUUGGGGUGGUGACGGUAGGUACAGAAGAAGCACCGGCCAACUACGUGCCAGCAGCCGCGGUAAUACGUAGGGUGCGAGCGUUGUCCGGAAUUAUUGGGCGUAAAGGGCUCGUAGGCGGUUUGUCGCGUCGGGAGUGAAAACAUCCAGCUUAACUGGGUGCUUGCUUUCGAUACGGGCAGACUUGAGGUAUGCAGGGGAGAAUGGAAUUCCUGGUGUAGCGGUGAAAUGCGCAGAUAUCAGGAGGAACACCGGUGGCGAAGGCGGUUCUCUGGGCAUUACCUGACGCUGAGGAGCGAAAGUGUGGGGAGCGAACAGGAUUAGAUACCCUAGUAGUCC